rnacentral:lncRNA from 1 species
AUUCCCAGCUGGGAGAGGAGAGACCCGCAGGCCAGGGUGGCUGGAGCAGACUUACUUAGGCUGAUGUGCGGAGAACAGACUGCAGAGGAACAAGAAUAGAAGGAGGGUGACCUUUGGGGAGCCAACGGCAGUGGUCUGGGAGAGACACGAUGGCAGCUUGGCCUAGGUGGAUCCCAGUGGAGGUGGUGAGAAGAGUCAGAUUUGGGACUUGCUGAAUGACGCAGUGAAGAAAACCUGGCUUUGGAGAGAGAAAGCUUGAAUUAGAACCCCACUUCUGGUAUACUCUAGCAGAGUCACCACAAGCACAUAAUCACCUUGAGCCUCACUAUCCUUCUGUGCUGAAUGGGAACAAUGAUAACUCCUUCACAGGGUUGUUGUGAAGAUGAAAAGAGUCUGUGGAAGUCCUUCUGCACUUAGGAAAAGGCUAUCCAAAUGUCAGCUGUCGUUAUAAUAAACACUGAGUUUUGAAAUGUUUCUAAAAAGCAA